UUAUCAAGGAAGAAAAGCAAAUGGCGAACCAUUUGUUUGCCGGUACUUGAUGAAUAAGCCCCGGCUAAUUAUGUGCCAGCAGCCGCGGUAAGACAUAAGGGGCAAGUGUUAUCCGGAAUUAUUGGGCGUAAAGGGUGCGUAGGCGGUCUAGUAAGUCAGUGGUGUAAUGGCAACGCUUAACGUUGUCCGGCUAUUGAAACUGCUAAACUUGAGUUAGAUAGAGGCGAGUGGAAUUCCAUGUGUAGCGGUAAAAUGCGUAAAUAUAUGGAGGAACACCAGAGGCGUAGGCGGCUCGCUGGGUCUUAACUGACGCUGAGGCACGAAAGCGUGGGGAGCAAACAGGAUUAGAUACCCUGGUAGUCCACGCCGUAAACGAUGAGUACUAAGUGUCGGGUUAAACCGGUACUGAAGUUAACACAUUAAGUACUCCGCCUGAGUAGUACGCGCCAAAGUAGGAAACUUAAAGGAAUUGACGGGACUCCGCACAAGCGGUGGAUCAUGUUGUUUAAUUCGAAGAUACCCGAAAAACCUUACCAGGUCUUGACAUGUUUUUGCAAAAUGAUAGUAAUAUCGUGGAGGUUACCAGAAACACAGGUGGUGCAUGGUUGUCGUCAGCUCGUGUCGUGAGAUGUUAGGUUAAGUCCUAAAACGAGCGAAACCCUUAUCGUUAGUUGCCAGCACGUUAUGGUGGGGACUUUAACCAGACUGCCAAUGAUAAAUUGGAGGAAGGUGAGGAUCACGUCAAAUCAGCAUGCCCCUUA
rnacentral:rRNA from 1 species